GCGGAGGAAAAGAAACCAACAGGGAUUGCCCCAGUAACGGCGAGUGAAGCGGCAACAGCUCAAAUUUGAAAUCUGGCCCCAGGCCCGAGUUGUAAUUUGCAGAGGAUGCUUUUGGCGCGGUGCCUUCCGAGUUCCCUGGAACGGGACGCCAUAGAGGGUGAGAGCCCCGUACGGUUGGACACCAAGCCUUUGUAAAGCUCCUUCGACGAGUCGAGUAGUUUGGGAAUGCUGCUCUAAAUGGGAGGUACAUUUCUUCUAAAGCUAAAUAUUGGCCAGAGACCGAUAGCGCACAAGUAGAGUGAUCGAAAGAUGAAAAGCACUUUGAAAAGAGGGUUAAACAGCACGUGAAAUUGUUAAAAGGGAAGCGCUUGUGACCAGACUUGCGUCCGGUGAAUCACCCAGCUCUCGCGGCUGGGGCACUUCGCCGGCACAGGCCAGCAUCAGCUUGCCGUCGGGGACAAAAGCUUCAGGAACGUGGCUCCUCUCGGGGAGUGUUAUAGCCUGUUGCACAAUACCCUUCGGCGGGCUGAGGUACGCGCUCCGCAAGGAUGCUGGCGUA
rnacentral:rRNA from 1 species